AUAAACCAAGUACCCACUUUAUGACUUAAAAAACUUCAAGAACCAACACCGAAGCUAGGCAUAUAGAGGUGAUUAUGGUUAAAUUGAUCAGCACGAAAAAUAUAACACGGCAAAUUUGGCACAUAAUGCACUUGUCGAUCUCUGGCUUUCCUGGUCAGCAAAUACAUGCGUUGUUCACACGUGGAAAGAUAUGAGGCCUGUGUCUUUAUUCAUGGAUAUACGUACAUAAAGAUAUACAUAUAUAUACAUACAUACAUACAUAUAACAAUGCUAAACGAAGAAGUUGGUUGCCUUUGGAUUAGAAAAGUGCAUACCUUACUCUUUGUUGGCCUCCUCAAAAAAUCAGAGCUUCCAAAAAUGCAAGAUGAUACCACAACUUUGCAAGUAGCCAUGUAUUCUUUGUCCUUCUCAUGCAAAUCAAAUCCAGUGCUAGGGAAUCCCUCUGGUCCUUUGACAAAACCACAAUGAAGUGUUUGACUUCUAGCAUAGUAUGAGUUCUCUCUUUGUUUAAGGGUCUGAUGUCCA
rnacentral:lncRNA from 1 species